GAUUGAACGCUGGCGGUAUGCUUAACACAUGCAAGUCGAACGGAAACGAUACUAGCUUGCUAGUAGGCGUCGAGUGGCGGACGGGUGAGUAACGCGUAGGAAUCUGCCUGAUAGUGGGGGAUAGCCCGAAGAAAUUCGGAUUAAUACCGCAUAAUCUAUUCGUAGUAAAGUGGGGGACUUUCGAGCCUCACGCUAUCAGAUGAGCCUGCGUAAGAUUAGCUUGUUGGUAGGGUAAAAGCCUACCAAGGCGACGAUCUUUAGCUGGUCUGAGAGGAUGAUCAGCCACAUCGGGACUGAGACACGGCCCGAACUCCUACGGGAGGCAGCAGUGGGGAAUAUUGGACAAUGGGGGCAACCCUGAUCCAGCAAUACCGCGUGUGUGAAGAAGGCCUGAGGGUUGUAAGGCACUUUCAAUUGUGAAGAAAAGUUAACGGUUAAUAACCGUUAGCCUUGACGUUAACUUUAGAAGAAGCACCGGCUAACUCCGUGCCAGCAGCCGCGGUAAUACGGAGGGUGCAAGCGUUAAUCGGAAUUACUGGGCGUAAAGCGUGCGUAGGCGGUUUAUUAAGUCAGAUGUGAAAGCCCCGGGCUUAACCUGGGAACUGCAUUUGAAACUGGUCAACUAGAGUAUGGUAGAGGAAAGUGGAAUUUCUGGUGUAGCGGUGAAAUGCGUAGAUAUCAGAAGGAACAUCAAUGGCGAAGGCAGCUUUCUGGACCAAUACUGACGCUGAGGUACGAAAGCGUGGGUAGCAAACAGGAUUAGAUACCCUGGUAGUCCACGCCGUAAACGAUGAUAACUAGCCGUUGGGGGGAUUUACCCUUUAGUGGCGAAGCUAACGCGUUAAGUUAUCCGCCUGGGGAGUACGGCCGCAAGGUUAAAACUCAAAGGAAUUGACGGGGACCCGCACAAGCGGUGGAGCAUGUGGUUUAAUUCGAUGCAACGCGAAGAACCUUACCUGGUCUUGACAUCCUGCGAACUUUCUAGAAAUAGAUUGGUGCCUUCGGGAACGCAGUGACAGGUGCUGCAUGGCUGUCGUCAGCUCGUGUCGUGAGAUGUUGGGUUAAGUCCCGUAACGAGCGCAACCCCUAUCCUUAUUUGCCAGCACAUCAUGGUGGGAACUAUAAGGAGACUGCCGGUGAUAAACCGGAGGAAGGCGGGGACGACGUCAAGUCAUCAUGGCCCUUACGACCAGGGCUACACACGUGCUACAAUGGGAAGGACAAAGAGCCGCGAAGCCGCGAGGUGUAGCUAAUCUCAUAAACCUUUUCGUAGUCCGGAUUGGAGUCUGCAACUCGACUCCAUGAAGUCGGAAUCGCUAGUAAUCGUAGAUCAGAAUGCUACGGUGAAUACGUUCCCGGGUCUUGUACUCACCGCCCGUCAA
rnacentral:rRNA from 1 species